CGUGUAGGCGGAUAUAUAAGCCUGGUGUUAAAGGCUUCGGCUCAACCGAAGUUUGGCGCUGGGAACUGUAUGUCUAGAGUACAGGAGGGGGAGUUGGAAUUCCUGGUGUAGGGGUGAAAUCUGUAGAUAUCAGGAAGAACACCGGUGGCGAAGGCGAACUCCUGGCCUGUUACUGACGCUGAGGCGCGAAAGCGUGGGGAGCGAACAGGAUUAGAUACCCUGGUAGUCC
rnacentral:rRNA from 1 species